rnacentral:rRNA from 1 species
AUUGAACGCUGGCGGCAGGCCUAACACAUGCAAGUCGAACGAGUGGCGGACGGGUGAGUAAUGUCUGGGAAACUGCCUGAUGGAGGGGGAUAACUACUGGAAACGGUAGCUAAUACCGCAUACAAUAGAAUGUGCCCAGAGGGGAUUAGCUGGUGGGUGGGGUAACGGCUCACAAGGCCGACGAACCCUAGCGGGUCUGAGAGGAGGACCAGCCACACUGGAACUUGGACACUGUCCAGACUCCUACGGGAGGCAGCAGUGGGGAAGAUUGCACAAUGGGCGCAAGCCUGAUGCAGCCAUGCCGCGUGUAUGAAGAAGGCCUUCGGGUUGUAAAGUACUUUCAGCGGGGAGGCGUUACCCGCAGAAGAAGCACCGGCUAACUCCGUGCCAGCCGCCGCGGUAAUAC